UGGCAGCCUUAGUAUACCUAUUUCCCACAAGGCCUUUUCCAUGUGACGUUGGUGACAGUGGGGACAUGUGGCUGGUCGCAGAGCAGUGCUUGGAACUGGCUAUUGGAAAUGAUGUCAGUUUGGCUGUUCUGCUUUCAACUUCUUUCAGCACCUGAAGGGAGAAAGAGCCUACAUCCUUACACAGGAAAAAACUGUUUGCGUUGUGGAACCACAAAGAUAGAAAACACUACCAGCCAAAUGACUCCCCUUGUCCUCUAAAGACUUAACUACGUUGUCAGUGGACAAAAUGUAAGGAUGGAGUCCAUGGGCACAGAGACCCA